AAAGUACUCCCUCCGUCCAGAAAUACUUGUCAUCAAAAUGAAUAAAAGGGGAUGUAUCUAGAUGUAUUUUAGUUCUAGAUACAUCCAUUUUUGUCCAUUUUGAUGACAAGUAUUUUCGGACGGAGGGAGUAUUUA
rnacentral:pre_miRNA from 1 species